UGGGGAAUUUUGGACAAUGGGCGAAAGCCUGAUCCAGCAAUGCCGCGUGUGUGAAGAAGGCCUUCGGGUUGUAAAGCACUUUUGUCCGGAAAGAAAUCCUUGGCUCUAAUACAGUCGGGGGAUGACGGUACCGGAAGAAUAAGCACCGGCUAACUACGUGCCAGCAGCCGCGGUAAUACGUAGGGUGCAAGCGUUAAUCGGAAUUACUGGGCGUAAAGCGUGCGCAGGCGGUUUGCUAAGACCGAUGUGAAAUCCCCGGGCUCAACCUGGGAACUGCAUUGGUGACUGGCAGGCUAGAGUAUGGCAGAGGGGGGUAGAAUUCCACGUGUAGCAGUGAAAUGCGUAGAGAUGUGGAGGAAUACCGAUGGCGAAGGCAGCCCCCUGGGCCAAUACUGACGCUCACGCACGAAAGCGUGGGGAGCAAAACAGGAUUAGAUACCCUGGUAGUCCACGCCCUAAACGAUGUCAACUAGUUGUUGGGGAUUCAUUUUCCCUUAGUAACGUAGCUAACGCGUGAAGUUGACCGCCUGGGGAGUACGGUCGCAAGAUUAAAACUCAAAGGAAUUGACGGGGUCAUAGCUG
rnacentral:rRNA from 1 species